UCGCGCAUACUCCGGGCGGAGUCGCGAAGACUUCUGGGAGUGCUCACUCUCUCUCGGAGUGCGCAGGCGCGGGCCACCGAGUGGACAUUUUGGUCUUUGUCCGCGGGUCAGGACGGUCUCUUGGUCCACGUGGCGUCAGGUGAUAAAGAGACCAAACUAUAUGAUCCUCCACUGAAGCAAGAAGAUCCACUGGAUGGUGGGGAAAAAGUGGAAAAGAAGUCUUGUCAGAAAAAGCCUGAGAAGAUGAUGAACAGAUAGAGAAGCAACAAGACUUGGGAGGCAAGUUGUGUUCAUCAAACUACAGACUGAGGAAAAAAGGAUGUGGAUAUAAGAAAAUUGGAAAAAUC